rnacentral:rRNA from 1 species
UACGAAGGGGGCUAGCGUUACUCGGAAUUACUGGGCGUAAAGGGCGCGUAGGCGGCGUUCCAAGUUAGGCGUGAAAGUCCUGGGCUCAACCGUGGAACUGCGCUUAAGACUGGAAUGCUAGAGGAUGGAAGAGGGUUGUGGAAGUUCCCAGUGUAGAGGUGAAAUCGUAGAUAUUGGGAAGAACACCGGUGGCGAAGGCGGCAACCUGGUCCAUUUCUGACGCUGAGGCGCGAUAGCGUGGGGGAGCAAA